CCCUCUUCUCUGAUGCUCUAUCCUGAACAUUCUAGCCACCUGGGUCUCUGAGUCUCUCUAGUUCCUUAUUUCAUUCUCUCUUCAGGCUGUCAGCUGGGUUCCAGCCUGGUUUCUCCUCCUAGCACAGCAGCUUGGGAGCUCUCCAGAAAAGAUUUCCCAUGCGCUGAAUGGAGGAUGUGGAAAAUGAAACGUCAUGAGUAAUUCUGUCAACCCUCCCCCAAGACAUCAGUGGGCAAAGGAUUUCUGAACAACAGGGAAUAUCUAAUUAGUCCACAUCCUGUCAUGUCUGUUUUCUGAAGUACGGGUAAUAGAACCAUGGAGCACCAUGCUUGGCUCUAUGGUCUGAACAAGUAGCUGAGUAAACUGAGUCCACCAGGAAUCAAGUUCAUAGAUUCACUGAGGAUCUACCUUCUCUGGUCACUUUGUACCUGUGGUCCAGCUCCUUUUCCACUGUACACGUUCCAUGGUUUUCAUCAUUCACAUCUCUGUAGGUAAGUUUCUUGGAACGUGCUUGUUUCCAGUGUAUCUUUGCUUUGUCCAUAUCAUUGUGGCACGUUUUGGUUCAGUGUCCCACCUCAUU